rnacentral:sRNA from 1 species
UAAGGAGGCAGUACUUUUCUCAUCCAAGUUCAUGGACUCUCUGAAUUCUGUCCCCAGAGUCCUUUGGUGUUCUAGGACCCCAGGUUAAGGAACCAAAAAAGACAGGUGGGUGGGGCAUGAGGGGGAACAUGUUAACCCUGUUUGUUCUGGUGAACAAUUCAGAUCCCCACUUUCUGAGGGUGCCCUGCUGGAAGAUAACCCUGUUUGUAAUUGUGCCGGUUCUUGGACCCCUGGUUGCCUUGAUCAUCUGCUACAACUGGCUACAUCGAAGACUAGCAGGGCAAUUCCUUGAAGAGCUAAGUAAGUUCUCUUCUCUCUCUUAUAAGCAGAGAAUAAAAAGCCAGGAAAGGGAGACAGAAGCAACAAGAGGAAGAGGGGGGCUAUUGAGGGAUCACAUUCCCAGAGGAAAGGAGGAGCUGGAGAGUUGGGGAAGACUCCUCCUGGGAGGUGGAGGGGAAAGAGGCCAGCUGUUAGAGACACAUUUACAGGUGGCAGAGAAGCGGGAGGCACUCC